AACGAACGCUGGCGGCAUGCCUAACACAUGCAAGUCGAACGAUCCCUUCGGGGCUAGUGGCGCACGGGUGCGUAACGCGUGGGAACCUGCCCUUAGGUUCGGAAUAACUCAGAGAAAUUUGAGCUAAUACCGGAUAAUGUCUUCGGACCAAAGAUUUUUCGCCUUUGGAUGGGCCCGCGUUGGAUUAGCUGGUUGGUGGGGUAAAGGCCUACCAAGGCGACGAUCCAUAGCUGGUCUGAGAGGAUGAUCAGCCACACUGGGACUGAGACACGGCCCAGACUCCUACGGGAGGGAGCAGUGGGGAAUAUUGGACAAGGGGCGAAAGCCUGAUCCAGCAAUGCCGCGGAAGUGAUGAAGGCCUUAGGGUUGUAAAGCUCUUUUACCCGGGAUGAUAAUGACAGUACCGGGAGAAUAAGCCCCGGCUAACUCCGUG
rnacentral:rRNA from 1 species